AGAGGUAUAGCUCAAGUGAUAGAGUGCAUGCUUAGCAUACACAAGGGUCCUGGGUUCAAUUCCCAGUACCUCCU
rnacentral:tRNA from 1 species